rnacentral:rRNA from 1 species
GACGAACGCUGGCGGCGUGCUUAACACAUGCAAGUCGAACGGAAAGGCCCUGCUUUUGUGGGGUGCUCGAGUGGCGAACGGGUGAGUAACACGUGAGUAACCUGCCCUUGACUUUGGGAUAACUUCAGGAAACUGGGGCUAAUACCGGAUAGGAGCUCCUGCUGCAUUGUGGGGGUUGGAAAGUUUCGGCGGUUGGGGAUGGACUCGCGGCUUAUCAGCUUGUUGGUGGGGUAGUGGCUUACCAAGGCUUUGACGGGUAGCCGGCCUGAGAGGGUGACCGGCCACAUUGGGACUGAGAUACGGCCCAGACUCCUACGGGAGGCAGCAGUGGGGAAUAUUGCACAAUGGGCGGAAGCCUGAUGCAGCAACGCCGCGUGCGGGAUGACGGCCUUCGGGUUGUAAACCGCUUUCGCCUGUGACGAAGCGUGAGUGACGGUAAUGGGUAAAGAAGCACCGGCUAACUGCGUG